rnacentral:rRNA from 1 species
AUUGAACGCUGGCGGCAGGCCUAACACAUGCAAGUCGAGCGAGCGGCGGACGGGUGAGUAAUGUAUGGGGACUGCCCGAUAGAGGGGGAUAACUGCUGGAAACGGUUGCUAAUCCCGUAUACUGGCGGCUAACCCAUGUGGGAUUAGCUAGUUGGUAAGGUAAUGGCUUACCUAGGCGACUAACCCUAGCUGGUCUGAGAGGAUGAUCAGCCACACUGGGACUGAGACACGGCCCAGACGCCUACGGAGGCAGCAGUGGGGAAUAUUGGACAAUGGGCGCAAGCCUGAUGCAGCCAUGCCGCGUGUAUGAAGAAGGCCCUAGGAUUGUAAAGUACUUUCAUUCGGGAGGCGUUACCGACAGAAGAAGCACCGGCUAACUCCGUGCCAGCCGCCGCGGUAAUAC